rnacentral:tRNA from 5 species
GGGCCCCUAGCUCAGUGGUAGAGCACGUGACUUUUAAUCACGGUGUCCCGGGUUCGAUCCCCGGGGGGCCCACCA